rnacentral:rRNA from 1 species
AGAGUUAAAAGUACGUGAAAUUGCUAAAAGGGAAACAUUUGACACCAGUAUUUGGGAGUCGGAAAUCAGCCUCGGUAUACUGGGGUGCACUUUCCGGCUACCAGGUCAACAUCAGUUUGGUAUCGAGUAAAAAGCUGUAGGAAGGUGACUUGGGCUUCGGUCUGAGUGUUAUAGCCUAUAGCCAUGCUCGGGACUGGACUGAGGUCUGCAGUGUUAUUUGGGUACCUGAUCGCCUCUUGAUCCAUGUCUUUAGACAGCACGCUGACUAGGGAUGUGGCUAGGGAGCCCGGUUAGUUUGCCACACCAACACUUAGGAUGUUGAUGAAAUGGUUCUAAACGACC